rnacentral:lncRNA from 1 species
CAGCAAGACCCGAAAAGCUGCCGGGCUGCGCAGCGGGCCGCUGGCGGGCGGGUCGUCCGCCGUUGUAAAUCGCUGCGGAGCGGCGUCGGCGUGGUCAGCAGAGCGGUUUGGUCAGGCCGUGGUCUGGAGAGGCAGCUCCUCCCUUAAAAUGAAGGUGAUGAAACCGUAGGCAACGCACAGGCACGCGGAAAUAUCUGAAGCCGAGAGAGAGUCGGAGCAGACCUUUAUCUCUUCGUUUCCUUAUCUUUGUCGUUACAGAGCAAGUUGGAAUUCAUUUUGCACUAUUAAAACAGUGUGAUCAGGUCAUCAGCACAGAACCCAGCGUAACAGAUCCUUCCCA